CGCGGCAAGACGGAAAGACCCCGUGAACCUUUACUAUAGCUUGACACUGAACAUUGAGCCUUGAUGUGUAGGAUAGGUGGGAGGCUUUGAAGCGUGGACGCCAGUCUGCGUGGAGCCGACCUUGAAAUACCACCCUUUAAUGUUUGAUGUUCUAACGUGGAUCCGUAAUCCGGGUUGCGGACAGUGUCUGGUGGGUAGUUUGACUGGGGCGGUCUCCUCCUAAAGAGUAACGGAGGAGCACGAAGGUUGGCUAAUCCUGGUCGGACAUCAGGAGGUUAGUGCAAUGGCAUAAGCCAGCUUGACUGCGAGCGUGACGGCGCGAGCAGGUGCGAAAGCAGGUCAUAGUGAUCCGGUGGUUCUGAAUGGAAGGGCCAUCGCUCAACGGAUAAAAGGUACUCCGGGGAUAACAGGCUGAUACCGCCCAAGAGUUCAUAUCGACGGCGGUGUUUGGCACCUCGAUGUCGGCUCAUCACAUCCUGGGGCUGAAGUAGGUCCCAAGGGUAUGGCUGUUCGCCAUUUAAAGUGGUACGCGAGCUGGGUUUAGAACGUCGUGAGACAGUUCGGUCCCUAUCUGCCGUGGGCGCUGGAGAACUGAGGGGGGCUGCUCCUAGUACGAGAGGACCGGAGUGGACGCAUCACUGGUGUUCGGGUUGUCAUGCCAAUGGCACUGCCCGGUAGCUAAAUGCGGAAGAGAUAAGUGCUGAAAGCAUCUAAGCACGAAACUUGCCCCGAGAUGAGUUCUCCCUGAGACUUUAAGUCUCCUGAAGGAACGUUGAAGACGACGACGUUGAUAGGCCGGGUGUGUAAGCGCAGCGAUGCGUUGAGCUAACCGGUACUAAUGAACCGUGAGGCUUAACCUU
rnacentral:rRNA from 1 species